rnacentral:rRNA from 1 species
UACGAAGGGGGGCUAGCGUUGCUCGGAAUCACUGGGCGUAAAGGGUGCGUAGGCGGGUCUUUAAGUCAGGGGUGAAAUCCUGGAGCUCAACUCCAGAACUGCCUUUGAUACUGAGGAUCUUGAGUUCGGGAGAGGUGAGUGGAACUGCGAGUGUAGAGGUGAAAUUCGUAGAUAUUCGCAAGAACACCAGUGGCGAAGGCGGCUCACUGGCCCGAUACUGACGCUGAGGCACGAAAGCGUGGGGAGCAAACAGG